rnacentral:lncRNA from 1 species
CCACCAUUACCAGAAGCAACAGCAGGGGAUCUAGAUGAAGAAGCUAGUUGGGAGGAGCUCCCCGGUAGCAAAGAGCCACCGGUACCAGCAUCAUGCCUCCUAGUCCUCCUCCACUUUCGCCUAGCCGCUCCAGACAAACGUGCCCUUCGUGGACCAGGUGUACUCCCGGAGGAACCACCAACAAGGGAACGCUCCCCCACCCCAUUGCCCUGAGGCAAACCAGUAGGCUCGGUACCCUCAGAAGAGGCCCCGAGACCACCAUCCCCACGAAGAGGCGGAGAAGCGCCCCCCCAGAAAAAGUUGAAGUUAAUAUAUCAUCCAUAAGAAUGACAUACUGGGGGAAAACAAACAGUCACCGCCCGGCCAUCCCCCAAUCCAGG